rnacentral:rRNA from 1 species
UAGGGAAUCUUCGGCAAUGGGGGGAACCCUGACCGAGCAACGCCGCGUGAGUGAAGAAGGUUUUCGGAUCGUAAAGCUCUGUUGUUAAGGAAGAACGAGUGUGAGAAUGGAAAGUUCAUGCUGUGACGGUACUUAACCAGAAAGGGACGGCUAACUACGUGCCAGCAGCCGCGGUAAUACGUAGGUCCCGAGCGUUGUCCGGAUUUAUUGGGCGUAAAGCGAGCGUAGGCGGUUAGAAAAGUCUGAAGUGAAAGGCAGUGGCUCAACCAUUGUAGGCUUUGGAAACUGUUUAACUUGAGUGCAGAAGGGGAGAGUGGAAUUCCAUGUGUAGCGGUGAAAUGCGUAGAUAUAUGGAGGAACACCGGUGGCGAAAGCGGCUCUCUGGUCUGUAACUGACGCUGAGGCUCGAAAGCGUGGGGAGCGAACAGG